rnacentral:rRNA from 1 species
AGAGUUUGAUCAUGGCUCAGGACGAACGCUGGCGGCGCGCCUAAAACAUGCAAGUCGAACGAGAAGCCCGGGCUUGCCCGGGUGGACAGUGGCGAACGGGUGAGUAACACGUGAGGAACCUGCCCCGAAGACCGGGACAACACCGGGAAACCGGUGCUAAUACCGGAUACCUUCGCCGGAUCGCAUGGUCUGGUGAAGAAAUGGAUUCCGCUUCGGGAUGGCCUCGCGGCCUAUCAGCUUGUUGGUGAGGUAACGGCUCACCAAGGCAACGACGGGUAGCUGGUCUGAGAGGAUGUCCAGCCACACUGGGACUGAGACACGGCCCAGACUCCUACGGGAGGCAGCAGUUAGGAAUCUUGCGCAAUGGACGAAAGUCUGACGCAGCGACGCCGCGUGCGGGAUGACGGCCCUCGGGUUGUAAACCGCUUUCAGCAGGGACGAAAUUGACGGUACCUGCAGAAGAAGCCCCGGCCAACUACGUGCCAGCAGCCGCGGUAAUACGUAGGGGGCAAGCGUUGUCCGGAUUUAUUGGGCGUAAAGAGCUCGUAGGUGGUUCGGUAAGUCGGAUGUGAAAUCUCCAGGCUCAACCUGGAGGGGUCAUUCGAUACUGCCGUGACUAGAGGUCGGUAGGGGAGUGUGGAAUUCCUGGUGGAGCGGUGAAAUGCGCAGAUAUCAGGAGGAACACCCGUAGCGAAGGCAGUCUCCUGGCAAGUUUCUGACGCUCAGGUGCGAAAGCUAGGGGAGCGAACAGGAUUAGAUACCCUAGUAGUCC